rfam:Oryza glaberrima chromosome 10 Oglab10_0090_13, whole genome shotgun sequence.
AAUAAGUGCAGUUUUGCACUAUUCACGUUCAACGUUUGACCGUUCGUUUUAUUUGAAAUUUUUUUUAUGAUUAGUAUUUUUAUUGCUAUUAGAUGAUAAAACAUGAAUAAUACUUUAUGUGUGACUAAAUAUUUUUAAAUUUUUCACAAAUUUUUCAAAUAAGACGGACGGUCAAAUGUUGGGCACGAAUAUCCACGGCUACACUUAUU